rnacentral:lncRNA from 1 species
CUCUAUGAGUCUCUAUGGGGUCUAUCGGUCUCUAUGGGUCCCUAUGGGUCGCUAUGGGUUCCUAUGGGGUCUCUAUGGGUCACUAUGGGUCUCUAUGGGGCGCUAUGGGGCGCAGUGACACAGCAGCAUUCAGGGCAGUCACUCAUUUAUUUUCACCUCCGUCCCGGUCCCCCCCAAAACCCCACAUCUAUGGGGCAGAGGAGGGUCUUCACCCCACAUCUAUGGGGCUGGGGGGGUCUUUACCCCACAUCUAUGGGGCAGGGGAGGGUCUCCACCCCAUAUCUAUGGGGCNGGGGGGUCUUCACCCCACAUCUAUGGGGCUGGGGGGGGCCCCAAAGCCAACAGGUCCCGGAUGUGGAGUGGCAGCUCCUGGGGGAGGGGGAAAUGGGGUCAUGUUGGGGUCAUGAGGUCACGGUGGGGUCACGGUGGGGUCACGGUGGGGUCAUGGGGUCACGUGGUCCGGUUUGGGGUCACGUUGGGGUCAUGAGGUCACUUUGGGGUCACAGCGGGGUCAGGAUUAGGGGUCAUAGGUCACAGCAGGGUCAGGGCAGUGUCAGGUGUUAUUUUGAGGUCACGGUGGGGUCAGAGGUCAUGCCGGGGUCACAUGGGGGUCAGGGUGGGGCCAGAGGUCACAGUAGGGUCAGAGGUCAAAAUGGGGUCAGGUCGUGGCCAGGGGUCAAUGUGAGGUCACAGAGGGGUCACACCAGGGUCAGAGGUCACACGGGUCAGGGCAGGGUCAGAGGUCACAGCGGGGUCACAGGUCACGGUGGGGUCAGAGGUCAUGGCGGGGCCAGGGGUCAUUGUAGAAUCAGGGUG